GGGGUUGUGGCUCAGUGGUGGAGUGCUUUCCUUGUAUGUAUGAGGCACUGGGUUCCAUCCUCAGCACCACA
rnacentral:tRNA from 1 species